rnacentral:rRNA from 1 species
UACGUAGGGUGCAAGCGUUAAUCGGAAUUACUGGGCGUAAAGCGUGCGCAGGCGGUUGUGCAAGACAGAUGUGAAAUCCCCGGGCCUAACCUGGGAAUUGCAUUUGUGACUGCACGGCUAGAGUGUGUCAGAGGGGGGUAGAAUUCCACGUGUAGCAGUGAAAUGCGUAGAUAUGUGGAGGAAUACCGAUGGCGAAGGCAGCCCCCUGGGAUAACACUGACGCUCAUGCACGAAAGCGUGGGGAGCAAACAGG